GAUGAACGCUAGCUACAGGCUUAACACAUGCAAGUCGCGGGACCGGCGCACGGGUGAGUAACGCGUAUCCAACCUGCCCUUCACCACGGGAUAACCCGGCGAAAGUCGGACUAAUACCGUAUGGUGAAGGAUGGGGAUGCGUCCGAUUAGCUUUACGGCGGGGUAACGGCGCACCGUGGCUACGAUCGGUGGGGGUUCUGGGAGGCAUGUCCCCCACACGGGAACGGCGACCCGGUCCAGACUCAUACGGGAGGCAGCAGUUAGGAAUAUUGGUCAAUGGGCGUAAGCCUGAGCCAGCCAAGUAGCGUGCAGGACGACGGCCUAUGGGUUGUAAACUGCUUUUAUGUGGGGAUAGGUACCGCAUGAAUAAGGACCGGCUAAUUCCGUGCCAGCAGCCGCGGUAAUUC
rnacentral:rRNA from 1 species